AAUCAACGCUGGCGGCGUGCCUCAGACAUGCAAGUCGAACGAUUAAGACUUCCUUCGGGAAGUGUAUAAAGUGGCGCACGGGUGAGUAACACGUAAGUAAUCUACCUUCGAGUGGGGAAUAACAUCGGGAAACCGAUGCUAAUACCGCAUAAUGCAGCGGCAUCGCAAGAUGACAGUUGUUAAAGGAGCAAUUCGCUUGAGGAGGAGCUUGCGUCAGAUUAGCUAGUUGGUAAGGUAAUGGCUUACCAAGGAUACGAGCUGUAUGCGGUCUAAGAGGGCGGUCGGAAACACUGACACUGAAUAACGGGUCAGACUCCUACGGGAGGCAGGAGUCGGGAAUUUUGGGCAAUGGGCGCAAGCCUGAUGCAGCAACGCCGCGUGCGGGAUGACGGCCUUCGGGUUGUAAACCGCUUUUAGUAAGGAAGAAGGGGAGCUUGCUCCUUGACGGUACUUGCAGAAAAAGGACCGGCUAACUACGUGCCAGCAGCCGCAGUAAUAC
rnacentral:rRNA from 1 species